AAAAAAAAAAAAAAAGAAAAGAAUGAUUGAAUGAAGUCAAGAAAAGGGUUGUCAUUGUCCUGUCUGCGCGGGGUUAAAGGUUGAACAAAAACGAAAAUGAAGACGAGGCUUGUUUUUAUAUUCAAUACCCCCCAUGAAAAGUCUGCGCCCUUUCCUUUUUCUCUCAUGUCCUUCUUCUUCUUUCUACUUCUACGUAACUUCCCUUUCUCUCUCUGACUUCUUCGUCCAUUCCCAUUUUCAAUUUCAAUCUUCAAUUUAGGGUUCAUUUUCAUCUUUUUGCCUUUCAAUUGAUCUCCAUUUUCAUCCUUCUUCUUGUUAUUGUUGUUGUUAUUUUGAUAUGUAAAUUGUAUAUCAAUCAUCUCCAUUCUUUUUACCUUCAAAAUUGGAUCCUUUUUUUUAUCAUCUCCAACUGUUUCUCGUUUAUUCAGUUUCUGGCAAAAAUCAUAAUCAACCUGUGCAUAUUUUAAUAAUUAUUUCUUGUGUUUUCUUUUUGUACCCAUGAAUAUAAUAUAUACUUCUUCCUUCUCAUUCUAUACAUUCUAAUUUAUUUUUUUUUUUUUUUGGAAAAGAACUCUUUUGGAUAAAGCUGCUGAUAAAUUAAUCAAAAAAAAAAAAAAAAAAAAAAAGGAAAAUGAAGUUGGUAGUGAAAGUGAUAGAAGCAAGAAAUAUACCAGCAAUGGAUCUGAAUGGGUACAGUGAUCCAUAUGUUAGAAUAAAUUUGGGAAAGCAAAGGUUCAGAACUAAGGUUGUAAAGAAAUGCUUGAAUCCUUACUGGGGUGACGAAUUCAGCUUUCGUGUUGAUGACUUGAGUGAUGAGUUGGUCAUUUCUGUUUUAGAUGAAGAUAAAUACUUUAAUGAUGAUUUUGUUGGUUUUGUUAAAUUCCCUGUUUCUAAGGUUUUUGAUUCUCCUGAUAAAUCUCUUCCUACUGCUUGGUAUCCUUUACUCCCCAAGAGUAAGAAGUCUAAACCCAAGGACUGUGGUGAAAUCUGUCUGCACAUAUGUCUUUCUCAAAACUCUUCUUAUAUGGACAUAUCCAACAUCGCUGCUGCCCCUUCCCAAAGAAAUGACAAUGUCGACUCUGAAUCUUUCAGUAUGGCCUCACGUUCAUCUUCUCCUUCAAGAUUGGAAGCUACUUCUUCUGCUAACAAAAAUGAUGAAUGCCUGACUAAUAAGUUUGAGCCAUCUGAAAUUUCCAAGCCCCAAGCCAGUGAGGGCAGGUCUGAUGACCUCGUUUCUCCGGCCUCUUUUGAUGAUCUAAUGAAAACCAUGGAAGGGAAGGACCAGGGAAUUGAACUUCCUACCAACUUACCAGGAGGGGUACUUUUAGAUCAGCUCUAUUUAGCCACCUCUUCUGACCUCAACGCUCUACUUUUUUCACCAGAUUCAAAGUUUCCUGUUGCUCUUGCAGAAUUCCAAGGGAAGACAGAAAUAAAUUUUGGGCCAUGGGAAUUUGAAAAUGAAAAUUUGGUAAGACUCAACACCUACCUCACGGCACCAUCAAAAAUUUCUAAGUCUCUUAAGGCUUUUGAGACUCAAGCUUAUAAACUAGCCAAUGGCAAGUCUUUUGCAAUUUUGGUCAGCGUUAGCACUCCUGAUGUAAUAUACGGGAGUACCUUUAGAGUAGAGAUGCUCUAUUGCAUCACACCUGGGCCUGAGUUGCCAUCUGGAGAACAAUCCUCACGGUUACUUGCAUCAUGGGGAAUGAAUUUUGUUCAGAGCACUAUGAUGAAGGGAAUGAUUGAAAAUGGAGCCCGGCCAGCAGUGAAGGAGAGUUUCGAUCAAUUUUCAACUCUUUUGUCUCAACAUGUCAACCCUGUUGAUCUCAAGGGUACUGGCUCCCAAAAGGAUCAGGUUCUGGCGUCAUUGCAAGCAGAACCACAAUCAGAUUGGAAGUUGGCAGUUCAAUACUUUGCUAAUUUUACCGUGGUGUCUACCAUUAUCAUUGGAACUUAUGUUCUUUUUCACAUUUGCCUGACAGCACCAAGCACCAUUCAGGGUCUUGAAUUUGUUGGGCUGGACUUGCCUGAUUCUAUUGGUGAAGUUAUUGUAUGCGGUGUCCUGGUCCUUCAAGUUAAGCGAAUGUUCGAGCUGGUAGCACGCUUCAUACAGGCCAGAUCGCAAAAGGGUAGCGACCACGGAAUUAAAGCACAAGGAGAUGGAUGGCUGCUUACUGUUGCACUAAUCGAGGGGAGCAACCUAGCAGCUGUUGAUUCAAGUGGUUUCUCUGACCCCUAUGUAGUUUUUACUUGCAAUGGGAGAACUAGAACAAGCUCAAUCAAGUUCCAGAAGCUAGAUCCUCAAUGGAAUGAAAUAUUUGAAUUUGACGCAAUGGAUGAGCCACCAUCAGUUUUAGAAGUAGAGGUUUUUGAUUUUGAUGGGCCUUUCGAUGAAGCAACUUCUUUAGGACAUGCUGAAAUAAACUUUCUUAAGGCAAAUGUAUCAGAGCUAGCAGACAUAUGGGUUCCUCUUCAAGGAAAGCUAGCACAGGCAUGGCAGUCUAAACUGCGAUUAAGAAUAUUUGUGGAUGACACAAGAGGUGGUAAUGCUAUCAGAGAAUACCUUGAAAAAAUGGAAAAGGAGGUUGGGAAGAAGAUAAGUCGGCGAUCACCUCAGACAAAUUCAGCAUUCCAGAAGCUGUUCUGCCUUCCACCAGAGGAAUUUCUUAUCAAUGACUUCACUUGCCAUCUGAAGCGCAAGAUGCCACUGCAGGGACGCCUUUUUCUAUCACCGCGAGUAAUAGGAUUCCAUGCUAGCUUAUUUGGACAUAAAACGAAUUUCUUCUUUCUUUGGGAGGACGUAGAGGACAUACAAGUUGCUUCUCCUAAUCUCUCUUCAAUGGGGAGUCCAAUCGUUGUCAUAACUCUUCGUAAGGGAAGAGGCUUAGAUGCAAAGCAUGGAGCAAAGACACAGGAUGCGGAAGGGAGGCUUAAAUAUUAUUUCCAUUCAUUUGUGUCUUUCACCAUGGCACACAGAACAAUUAUGGCCCUUUGGAAGGCAAGAUCAUUGAGUCCUGAGCAGAAGGUGAAGAUUGUUGAGGAAGACACUGAAACUACCAGUCUCCAGACAGAAGAGAGUGGAACCUUUGUAGGUGAUGAGGAUAUUAGCAUGACUGAGGUUUAUUCUUCUGCUCUCUCUGUUCCGAUGAACUUCUUGAUGGAGUUAUUUAGUGGUGGUGAUGUUGACAAAAGAGUCAUGGAGAGAACUGGAUGCCUUAAUUAUUCUUGUUCUCCUUGGGAACUAGAUAAGGAUGUUUAUGAACGGCAAGUGUGCUACAACUUUGACAAGCGUAUAUCUAGCUACAAAGGAGAAGUGACCAGCAUGCAACAAAAAUCUCCUCUUCCUGAUAAAAAUGGCUGGCUUGUUGAAGACAUUUUGACACUUCAUGGGAUUCCGCUUGGUGACUGUUUUAAUCUCCACCUCAGAUACCAGAUUGAGGAUAGAGCAAAGGGCUGUUAUGUGAAAGUAUCAUUUGGAAUUGCUUGGCUGAAAAGAAAUAAACACCAGAAAAGGAUCUCUAAGAACAUACUUUCAAAUCUGGUAGAUCGCCUGAAAGUGAUGUUUGCCACUGUUGAGAAAGAAUAUGUGAAUGGAAGAUAGAAGCUUUAAUAUUGUAGUAUUGCUUUUUGUCACCCAUGGAAGUCUCUUUUGAGAACAGAGUCAAAAAAACUAACAGAAGCAACCGUGUCUAGAUAGAAACAAGGUUACACUGAAUGAAUGUUGCCUGAAAUCAGACUAAUCACAUCAGCAUACAGCCAUCAUGAUGCAGAGAUUCUUGUAAAAUUGCAGCUGUUUUGGUAGUUUGAAGGGGAAACUUGUGAACAUCAGAAUGCCAUGGAAUAUGUUGAUGAACUUGCUUCAGAGAAACGGGGAAAGGGAGUGAUUUGGCUGUUGGGGCUGCUGUGCUGCGCUGAAGUCCUCCAUGAGGGGAUGUGCUGAAGCCUGAAGGUAAUGGAUAUGGGCUGUUUUGAGGGGCUGAGAACAGCUCUCUGAUCAUAGUUAGGGGAAGAUGCUAGAUGCAAAAAUAUACUUUGGGUAUAGUAAAGGUUACUUUUUGAAAGUAAUUGGCACUGCUUGAUCACUGCAAUUUCAUUACCAAAAAAAAAAAAAAAAAACAUGAUUGUAGUAGCUUCGUGUUGGAUGAUACUUAUCAGUUAUCACUGUCAUUCGCUGAUAAUUGUUUCAUGGAGUUACAUGCAAUGAUGAUAGAGUAGCUCAUGAGCUUGCUCAUCUCUUGCGAUUGGAGGUAGGAGGGGUUGGUUAGUUUACCUUUAUUUUGUUGUUAGUUUUUUUUGUGGUUUUAAUGGAAAUUUAUCUUUUUAUUCUGUGCGAAAAUCGACCUAAUCUGACAUUAGCUUAAAUGCUACAUAUGAAAAAACAAAAAUAGGGCAGUUUUGGUUCUAAAUUCAACUUAAAAAACCUAUAUUCCCAAAAAAA